UACGUAGGGUGCGAGCGUUAAUCGGAAUUACUGGGCGUAAAGCGUGCGCAGGCGGUUCGCCAAGUCAGGUGUGAAAUCCCCGGGCUUAACCUGGGAAUUGCGCUUGAAACUAGCGGGCUUGAGUGCGGCAGAGGGGGGUGGAAUUCCGCGUGUAGCAGUGAAAUGCGUAGAUAUGCGGAGGAACACCGAUGGCGAAGGCAAUCCCCUGGGCCUGCACUGACGCUCAUGCACGAAAGCGUGGGGAGCAAACAGG
rnacentral:rRNA from 1 species